CUCGAUCUCCGAUUCGAGUUUUUAGCUGUCUGCUGCUAAGCCGAACUUGGAAAAAUCUUAACUUCAAUAUACGAAGCCGGAUUUGGGCAUUCCUUUUUACGUACGAUCCCGGUUUAAUGAUAUUAAACAUAGAAGGAAUUUAAAUAGAUACUUUUUGGGCAUUUUAUUGAAACUUUGCGUUUUUACGUAACUUCGUAUUGCCGGUUUUUGUCGGAAAACUUAGAAUGGUCAUAACUUCUUCGUUAUAACUCAGAUUUUAGUGUUCUUUAUAUGCUUGGAAACCUUAAGACGAUAUCUACUACAUAGCGUACUCCAAACAGAGCCUUUGAAUACUUCAUUUUUCGAUGAUAUUCUCAUUACUUUUAGAAAGAGGUUACAAGACUCAAAUUUCAAGGACCUGAAAUGACGGGUUGUUACAGUUAAACAUUCCUAAUGUAGAUGGGGAUCCUUUGCUUCUACAUUACGUCUUUUGCCAUGAAGUUGUCACCGACCCCCGAAGCCAAGUACAUGAAAUGGUUUUGAGAUUGGGGUUAUGAGUUUUCAUUCAGGAAGAAAGAAUUUUGUCUCAUCACCGGCUUCCGGUUUGGUGACUAUUUUCCUGCGUCUGCAUCUGGCGCCGCCUUCCGUUCUCAUGUCUUUCGGACGAGGAUGCAAUCCGUGUAUGUCUUCUGUACCUAUUAGAGAAGGGUUUUAAUGGGCAGUUGGCUAAACAGCCUGUUACAGAAGAUUAUUUCGCUUUGUUGUCCAACCUUGAUUAAUUCAACAAGUAUAAUAUCGUUUAUUUUAUAAUUACUAAUUAUAAUUACUUGUCGUUGCUAAUAUUUUUUAGAAAUUUAAUUGUAAACUAUUUUUUUAUGUGGCAGAUAUCCAUGGAGGGGGGGGGGGUAAUUUGGGAUGAAUUGUACAAACAACUAUUUACUAUAUUCAAUAAGGUUGACAAGCUUAUACAUCCAGAUGAACCAAAAGAGAACGGAUCUCAAAAAUUGACCUGCACCCUACAGGGGUUUUUAUACGCUUUUAAGGUAAAUAUAUGAUAAAAAAAUUUAUUAUUUAUUUUUGUUUGCUAACAUUCUAAUAGUUUUUUAUUUAUUUAUUUGCUUGAUAAGAUUUAGAUAUUGAUUCUUGAGACUUUUCUGCUGAGUAUUUGUUUGGUACCCGAUAACAGAAUGUGAUCCUUCGGGCUGUUGCAUGGUUAAAUUUGAGGCCUUUACAAAAGACUCACUACAACCAGUUUUUACAAAUUGACGAGGUAUGGUUACUUUAUUAUUUAAAUAUUUAGUUAUUUUAUAAUUUAUGUUUAUUUAUAAUUUCAUAAUUUACGUUAGCAGGAUAAUAGAC
rnacentral:lncRNA from 1 species